UCGUAAAGCUCUUUGGCAAUGGAAGCUCUGGGAUUUCCUUCUCUCAACACCCUCAGCAUUUUGUGCUCAAGUUCUCAGAAACGAAAAGCCACCAAACCACCAUGUCAAAGAACACAUUUUUCAAGCAUUUCACCUCCCUCUUCCCUAAAACUCACACCCUCUUACAGAAGUUACCAUUUUCAGAGGAGUGCCACUCGUAUGCAGGGUGACAGUGAAGAUUACGAGUUGAAGCAAAUGAGGGAUAUGGCUGCUGCCAAAAAGAGAUGGGAAGCUCUGGCAUGGGUUAAAGGCUCGAUCUGGAUUCCAUUAAUUGAUGUCGGUCAACUUGGGCUACCCCAAAAAUCCGCUAAGGUAUCAAUCUCUUCCUAUCCUCACGAAUGUAGCUUCUCUGGUUUUCGCUUUGAUUUUUAUGGAAGGUAUGAGAUUUCUUUAAAUUUUUGUUUGGUUUAUGAUUUUUUUGUGGAUUGGACCAUCUGGGGGCUGUGGGUUUCUUGAAGCUCAGAAGCUUCGGAUUUUAUGGAACAAAUGGGUCUCAGAGAAGCAGAUUACACUGCAGUGGCAGCGUAGGACCUGGUGGGCCCGGAUUUGCCGGUUGAAGAUGACGUGGUCCUGAUCCUCGGUCGCUUCUGCGACAGUUCCGAACGACGGAUUCAGUUGCCAAGCUCCGACGAUUCUGUCUGUGGCAAAGAGAAUUCAGGAAGAGUGGAAGAUCCGGGAGAAAGAUUUGCCA